GGAUGAACGCUGGCGGCGUGCCUAAUACAUGCAAGUCGUACGAGGGAAGGUCCAGCUUGCUGGACGGAACGAGUGGCGAACGGGUGAGUAAUACGUAAGCAACCUGCCUGCAAGGACUGGGAGUAACACCUGGAAACGGGACGCUAAUACCGGAUAGGUAACAAAGGGGCGAUCCCUAUGUUAUUAAAGGUUAGAAACACAAGCAGAUGGGCUUACGGUGCAUUAGCUAGUUGGUGAGGUAACGGCCCACCAAGGCGAUGAUGCAUAGCCGGCCUGAGAGGGUGAACGGCCACAUUGGGACUGAGACACGGCCCAGACUCCUACGGGAGGCAGCAGUAGGGAAUUUUCGGCAAUGGACGAAAGUCUGACCGAGCAACGCCGCGUGAGUGAAGAAGGUUUUCGGAUUGUAAAGCUCUGUUGUAAGGGAAGAACAGCACGGAAAGAAUCCGUGAAUGACGGUACCUUACCAGAAAGCCACGGCUAACUACGUGCCAGCCGCAGC
rnacentral:rRNA from 1 species